GAUGAAGAACGCAGCGAAAUGCGAUAAGUAAUGCGAAUUGCAGAAUUCCGUGAGUCAUCGAAUCUUUGAACGCACAUUGCGCCCGCCAGUAUUCUGGCGGGCAUGCCUGUCCGAGCGUCAUUUCAACCCUCGAACCCCUCCGGGGGGUCGGCGUUGGGGAUCGGCCCUUUCACCGGGUGCCGGCCCCUAAAUACAGUGGCGGUCUCGCCGCAGCCUCUCAUGCGCAGUAGUUUGCACACUCGCACCGGGAGCGCGGCGCGUCCUCGUCCGUAAAACACCCCAAACUUCUGAAAUGUUGACCUCGGAUCAGGUAGGAAUACCCGCUGAACUUAAGCAUAUCAAUAAGCGGAGGA
rnacentral:misc_RNA from 1 species